rnacentral:rRNA from 1 species
UACGUAGGGUGCAAGCGUUAAUCGGAAUUACUGGGCGUAAAGCGUGCGCAGGCGGCUUUGCAAGACAGAUGUGAAAUCCCCGGGCUUAACCUGGGAACUGCAUUUGUGACUGCAUGGCUGGAGUGCGGCAGAGGGGGAUGGAAUUCCGCGUGUAGCAGUGAAAUGCGUAGAUAUGCGGAGGAACACCGAUGGCGAAGGCAAUCCCCUGGGCCUGCACUGACGCUCAUGCACGAAAGCGUGGGGAGCAAGACGG